rnacentral:rRNA from 1 species
AGAGUUUGAUCCUGGCUCAGAGCGAACGCUGGCGGCAGGCUUAACACAUGCAAGUCGAGCGGGCGUAGCAAUACGUCAGCGGCAGACGGGUGAGUAACGCGUGGGAACAUACCUUUUGGUUCGGAACAACACAGGGAAACUUGUGCUAAUACCGGAUAAGCCCUUACGGGGAAAGAUUUAUCGCCGAAAGAUUGGCCCGCGUCUGAUUAGCUAGUUGGUGAGGUAACGGCUCACCAAGGCGACGAUCAGUAGCUGGUCUGAGAGGAUGAUCAGCCACAUUGGGACUGAGACACGGCCCAAACUCCUACGGGAGGCAGCAGUGGGGAAUAUUGGACAAUGGGCGCAAGCCUGAUCCAGCCAUGCCGCGUGAGUGAUGAAGGCCCUAGGGUUGUAAAGCUCUUUUGUGCGGGAAGAUAAUGACGUACCGCAAGAAUAAGCCCC